CUAACUGAUUGAACAGUUGGCUUAGAUCAAGUGUAGUAUCUGUUCUUUUCAGUUUAAUCUCUGAGUAUGUUUGCCUCCUCAACCUCGAAAUUUGUUCACCUUGCUAACUCUGUGCAGAAUGUGACUACGGUCACAAUACAUUGAUUAAUCCUAUUUUUGCACCUCGCUCGAGUCUUCCUGUGCUUGCACAGAAGUCUCUUGCACCGUGUCCGAGGCCUUACACUGCCGCCUUGUGACGCGAACCACC
rnacentral:snRNA from 1 species